CCUGGUUUCCUGUCUUGGGAUCUCAAGGGGCUAGAAUGAGCUGCUAUUCCAAGGGAGAGAAGAAAGCAACCCCAGGAAGCCUGGCCCCGAAGACUGUGAGGAAACAAAGCCAACAGGAUCUGCACCACCUCUGCCUCCCGGACAUUGGAAGGACUAAAUAAGAUCAGAGACCUCAUUCCUAGAUGGAACGAGGAAUGGUAGCGACCACGAUCCUCCCCUCCCAGGAUCUGCGCCACAAGGGAAGAUCAGAACCUUCAGCUGCCAGAAGCACUGUGGCGGAAAUGUAGGUCCCCAUCCAGGCUGAUCUGAGCUUGGCUUUCUGGAGCACGCAAACCUCGAUGCACUGAACUGCUGCCGGACCUCACCUUGCCAGGCCCACUGUGCUCACACUCACACAUCGCUCCAUCCACUGGAGGCUGCAGAGGCAAGAUCCACCAAGAAGAUGGUCUUCCUGUCCAGGAUGCCCUUCCCUGAGAGAAGUGUAUUUAAUCUUAAAUUCAGAUGUUUGUUUGUCUACCCACUUAAAACACCCUGUUGAAUAAAAAUUACUCAAGGAACAC
rnacentral:lncRNA from 1 species